AUUGAACGCUGGCGGCAGGCUUAACACAUGCAAGUCGAGCGGGGUGAUGGUGCUUGCACUAUCACUUAGCGGCGGACGGGUGAGUAAUGCUUAGGAAUCUGCCUAUUAGUGGGGGACAACAUCGCGACAGGGAUGCUAAUACCGCAUACGUCCUACGGGAGAAAGCAGGGGAUCAAUUGUGACCUUGUGCUAAUAGAUGAGCCUAGGUCGGAUUAGCGAGUUGGUGGGGUAAAGGCCUACCAAGGCGACGAUCGGUAGCGGGUCUGAGAGGAGGAUCCGCCACACUGGGACAGAGACACAGCCCAGACUCCUACGGGAGGCAGCAGUGGGGAAUAUUGGACAAUGGGGGGAACCCUGAUCCAGCCAUGCCGCGUGUGUGAAGAAGGCCUUAUGGUUGUAAAGCACUUUAAGCGAGGAGGAGGCUCUUUUGGUUAAUACCCAAGAUGAGUGGACGUUACUCGCAGAAUAAGCACCGGCUAACUCUGUGCCAGCCGCCGCCGUAA
rnacentral:rRNA from 1 species